rnacentral:rRNA from 1 species
AUUGAACGCUGGCGGCAGGCCUAACACAUGCAAGUCGAACGGUAACAGGAAGCAGCUUGCUGCUUUGCUGACGAGUGGCGGACGGGUGAGUAAUGUCUGGGAAACUGCCUGAUGGAGGGGGAUAACUACUGGAAACGGUAGCUAAUACCGCAUAACGUCGCAAGACCAAAGAGGGGGACCUUCGGGCCUCUUGCCAUCGGAUGUGCCCAGAUGGGAUUAGCUAGUAGGUGGGGUAACGGCUCACCUAGGCGACGAUCCAUAGCUGGUCUGAGAGGAUGACAAGACACACUGGGAGGGAGACACGGUGGAGAAUUUUAAGGGAGGGAGCAGUGGGGAAUAUUGGAAAACGGGGGAAAGGAUGAUACAGUAAUGCUGCGAGAGUGAUGAAGGCGUUAGGGUAGGAAAGAGCUUUUACCCGCGAGGAUAAUGAGAGUAUCGGAAGAAUAAGCACCGGCUAACUCCGUG